rnacentral:lncRNA from 1 species
UUAUCAAUGGGUAAACAAUUUCAAGCAAUAUUGAGCAAACAAUUUUAACAACAAAUUCAAAUCCAACAAGAAAUUAAUUUCAGCAACAAAUUCAAACAAAAUCAACAAAUUGAUUCCACUAACAAAUUUAAGAAAUUCCUAACAAUAAAUUUUAGCAACAAAUCGAUUCCACAACAAAUUUAAGAAAUUACAUCAACAAAUUCAAUCAAUUUCAACAAAAAGAUUCGACCAAAAAUUUGAGGGUUUUCGUGCUCACUGGGAGACGGCGAUUUGAGGGAUGCGACAAUUUGGGGGAGGCGGCGACUUGGGAUUUUCGAUUCAGAGGGAGGCGGUCAUUUGGGGAAGGCGGUCGACAAUUUGGGGGAGGCGGUGAUUUCGCACAAACGAAGAAGAAGAAGAAGGUUGAGGCUUUAGAGGCGGUUACCUGAGAAAUAGAGAGAGCGAGGGAUGAAGGGCGACGCAGAGAAAGGGGUCAGCGGCGGCGUUGACUGGGCUCGGCGGCGGCUGUCCGACCGUGAACGGAGAAGUGACUGGGCUCUGCGGCGGUGGUGUUCCGGUCGUGACGCUCAAGGGAACGGUGAGAGAGAGAGAGAGAGAGAUGAAGCUAGGGGAUUUAGGGUAGAUUCUGGAUUUUGGGGAUUUAGGGUUGAGUGGUGAGAGAGAGAGAGAGAGAUGAAGCCAGGGGAGCGACGCUCAAGCGCGUCUUCGCCGGAGAGGGAACCGCGGCGGUCUCAGCCCUCGCUGCUGUCACCUUCGCCGGCAGUAGAUGAAGGCAGCGCGGCGUCUGAGAUGAAGGGUGUGUGAGAGUUUGAGAAGAGAGCGAGGGCGUGAGGCGAGAGGUGAGAGAAUGGAGGUGCACCGGUGGUGGUUCCCGGAGAGUCGGCGAUGCCGGUGAGGAAGGAGGGGGAGGAGGGGGGCGCCGCUGCAUCUAUGUGUGUGUUGUGUGUGUUUUGUGAGUGUGUGCGUGUGUUUUAUUAGAAUU